rnacentral:rRNA from 1 species
CAUUAUUGAAAGAAACUUUCAGGUAAAAAGAAGAGAAGGCAGUUGUAGCUGGUUUCUUUAAUUUGAGGGAAUAUGUGCACACUGUUGUUUUUUCUUUUACUUGUUUCUUCAUUUUCUUCUCCACUUGUGCACUGUUUGUAGACAGCUUGGUUACAGGCUGUCUAUGAUUUUACACACACUAUAAAAGCACUUUGUUGUUACAGAAUGAGAUUUUUUUUAAAAAAAAAUACAACUUUCAACAACGGAUCUCUUGGCUCUUGCAUCGAUGAAGAACGCAGCGAAAUGCGAUAAGUAAUGUGAAUUGCAGAAUUCAGUGAAUCAUCGAAUCUUUGAACGCAUCUUGCGCUCCUUGGUAUUCUGAGGAGCAUGCCUGUUUGAGUGUCAUUUAAAUCUUUGUCAAAACAUCUUCUUGUGUUUUGGAUUGUGGGAGUGUUUGCUGGUUUUCUCCAUGGCCAGCUCUCCUGAAAGACAAUUUUUGAGAGGAUGUGUUUGUGCCACUUCUGUCUUUCUAUUGGUGUGAUAGAUUUGUCUAUGCCAGGAAAGCAGACUGCAAGUGGCAAAUUGAGCACUGCAAUCUUUUUUUUCUCUGUUAUCUUUUGAGAAAGAUGACUUUGUCUGAUAACUUGACCUCAAAUCAGGUAGGACUACCCACUGAACUUAAGCAUAUCAAUAAGUGGAGGAAAAGAAACUAACAAGGAUUCCCCUAGUAACUGCGAGUGAAGAGGGAAGAGCUCAAAUUUAAAAUCAGGCAGUCUUUUGCUGUCUGAGUUGUAAUCUAGAGAAGUGCUGCCCGUGCUGGACCAUGUACAAGUCUUCUGGAAUGGAGCGUCAUAGAGGGUGAGAAUCCCGUCUUUGACAUGGACUGCCAGUGCAUUUGUGGUGUGCUCUCAAAGAGUCGAGUUGUUUGGGAAUGCAGCUCUAAAUGGGUGGUAAACUCCAUCUAAAGCUAAAUAUUGGCAAGAGACCGAUAGCGAACAAGUACCGUGAGGGAAAGAUGAAAAGAACUUUGGAAAGAGAGUUAAACAGUAUGUGAAAUUGUUGAAAGGGAAACGCUUAAAGUCAGUUGUGUCGGCCAGGGAUCAACUCAGUUUUUUUUCUUUGCUGGGUGUACUUCCUGAUCUGAUGGGCCAACAUCAGUUUUGGCUGCUGGAGAAGGAUAGAGGGAAUGUGGCACCUUUUUUUGGGUGUGUUUAUAGCUCUCUGUCAGAUGCAGUGGCUAGGACUGAGGAAGGCAGCAUGCCAUAAAGGCCAGGU